GAUGAACGCUGGCGGCGUGCCUAAUACAUGCAAGUCGAGCGAACGGACGAGAAGCUUGCUUUUCUGAUGUUAGCGGCGGACGGGUGAGUAACACGUGGAUAACCUACCUAUAAGACUGGGAUAACUUCGGGAAACCGGAGCUAAUACCGGAUAAUAUUUUGAACCGCAUGGUUCAAAAGUGAAAGACGGUCUUGCUGUCACUUAUAGCUGGAUCCGCGCUGCAUUAGCUAGUUGGUAAGGUAACGGCUUACCAAGGCAACGAUGCAUAGCCGACCUGAGAGGCUGAUCGGCCACACUGGAACUGAGACACGGUCCAGACUCCUACGGGAGGCAGCAGUAGGGAAUCUUCCGCAAUGGGCGAAAGCCUGACGGAGCAACGCCGCGUGAGUGAUGAAGGUCUUCGGAUCGUAAAACUCUGUUAUUAGGGAAGAACAUAUGUGUAAGGAACUGUGCACAUCUCGACGGUACCUAAUCAGAAAGCCACGGCUAACUACGUG
rnacentral:rRNA from 1 species